GAUGAACGCUGGCGGCGUGCCUAAUACAUGCAAGUCGAGCGAACGGACGAGAAGCUUGCUUCUCUGAUGUUAGCGGCGGACGGGUGAGUAACACGUGGAUAACCUACCUAUAAGACUGGGAUAACUUCGGGAAACCGGAGCUAAUACCGGAUAAUAUUUUGAACCGCAUGGUUCAAAAGUGAAAGACGGUCUUGCUGUCACUUAUAGAUGGAUCCGCGCUGCAUUAGCUAGUUGGUAAGGUAACGGCUUACCAAGGCAACGAUGCAUAGCCGACCUGAGAGGGUGAUCGGCCACACUGGAACUGAGACACGGUCCAGACUCCUACGGGAGGCAGCAGUAGGGAAUCUUCCGCAAUGGGCGAAAGCCUGACGGAGCAACGCCGCGUGAGUGAUGAAGGUCUUCGGAUCGUAAAACUCUGUUAUUAGGGAAGAACAUAUGUGUAAGUAACUGUGCACAUCUUGACGGUACCUAAUCAGAAAGCCACGGCUAACUACGUGCCAGCAGCCGCGGUAAUACGUAGGUGGCAAGCGUUAUCCGGAAUUAUUGGGCGUAAAGCGCGCGUAGGCGGUUUUUUAAGUCUGGUGUGAAAGCCCACGGCUCAACCGUGGAGGGUCAUUGGAAACUGGAAAACUUGAGUGCAGAAGAGGAAAGUGGAAUUCCAUGUGUAGCGGUGAAAUGCGCAGAGAUAUGGAGGAACACCAGUGGCGAAGGCGACUUUCUGGUCUGUAACUGACGCUGAUGUGCGAAAGCGUGGGGAUCAAACAGGAUUAGAUACCCUGGUAGUCCACGCCGUAAACGAUGAGUGCUAAGUGUUAGGGGGUUUCCGCCCCUUAGUGCUGCAGCUAACGCAUUAAGCACUCCGCCUGGGGAGUACGACCGCAAGGUUGAAACUCAAAGGAAUUGACGGGGACCCGCACAAGCGGUGGAGCAUGUGGUUUAAUUCGAAGCAACGCGAAGAACCUUACCAAAUCUUGACAUCCUUUGACAACUCUAGAGAUAGAGCCUUCCCCUUCGGGGGACAAAGUGACAGGUGGUGCAUGGUUGUCGUCAGCUCGUGUCGUGAGAUGUUGGGUUAAGUCCCGCAACGAGCGCAACCCUUAAGCUUAGUUGCUAUCAUUAAGUUGGGCACUCUAAGUUGACUGCCGGUGACAAACCGGAGGAAGGUGGGGAUGACGUCAAAUCAUCAUGCCCCUUAUGAUUUGGGCUACACACGUGCUACAAUGGACAAUACAAAGGGCAGCGAAACCGCGAGGUCAAGCAAAUCCCAUAAAGUUGUUCUCAGUUCGGAUUGUAGUCUGCAACUCGACUACAUGAAGCUGGAAUCGCUAGUAAUCGUAGAUCAGCAUGCUACGGUGAAUACGUUCCCGGGUCU
rnacentral:rRNA from 1 species